rnacentral:rRNA from 1 species
UACAGAGGUCCCGAGCGUUGUCCGGAUUUAUUGGGCGUAAAGAGCGUGUAGGCGGCCAGGUAGGUCUGCUGUGAAAACUCGAGGCUUAACCUCGAGCUGUCGGCGGAAACCAUCUGGCUAGAGUCCGGAAGAGGAGAAUGGAAUUCCCGGCGUAGCGGUGAAAUGCGCAGAUAUCGGGAAGAACACCCGUGGCGAAGGCGGUUCUCUGGGACGGUACUGACGCUGAGACGCGAAAGCGUGGGGAGCGAACAGG